UACAGCUACAGUAUUCCAGUGGGGAGACUCCCUGCAGGGAAAUGCUGGAAGCCCUGAGGCAGCACGGAGGAUUUAUUAUUCAAAUUGACCUUUGGACAAAGAGAACCUACAAACGUGACUCGGAAAGAAGAGAAAGCUGAAAACAGAGGUUACACAAUCAGAAACAACCGAUGAAGCUGGUGUGAAAGAAGCACAGAUGGAUGCUCAAGAUGCUCGGGGACGAUUACCAUUGGCAGAGGCAGAAGUAGAAGAGAUGGAAAAACCCCACGAACCACAAUCUAACAAUGUUGCGUUUCAAAAGCUGUACUUUUACGUGUUUGCAUUGCAUUUGGAGAGACUAAACUCUGAAGAUGACAUUAGCCCAAAGUGACACCUGCUUUCUGGAUGUGUAGACCAAGGGAAGAUAGACCGUCCAUCUCCGAUGUCAGUCUAGAGAGCAACGGACCAUCCCGAGACAGGAUCGGGAGCUUCAGCCACCGCCUGUUACUCUUGGAUGUUAACGCUUCCUCUUUUCAGGACUUCUCUUUGUUUUUGUUUGGAAAAAAUGGCAGAAAUGGUGAUGUUGUUUGACUGACUUCCAUAGC